GCACCAGUAGCUUAACGUCUAAAGCGCCGACCUUGUAAGCCGGAUAUUGAAGGUUAAAAUCCCUCCUGUUGCU
rnacentral:tRNA from 1 species